UACGGAGGAUGCGAGCGUUAUCCGGAUUUAUUGGGUUUAAAGGGUGCGCAGGCGGCACGGCAAGCCGGCGGUCAAAUCGCGGGGCUCAACCCCGCCCAGCCGUCGGAACUGCCGGGCUAGAGUGGGCGAGAAGUGCGCGGAAUGCGUGGUGUAGCGGUGAAAUGCAUAGAUAUCACGCAGAACUCCGAUUGCGAAGGCAGCGCACCGGCGCCCUACUGACGCUCAGGCACGAAAGCGUGGGUAUCGUACAGG
rnacentral:rRNA from 1 species